CCUACGGGAGGCAGCAGUAGGGAAUAUUGGUCAAUGGGUGCAAGCCUGAACCAGCCAUGCCGCGUGCAGGAAGAAGGCCUUUGGGUUGUAAACUGCUUUUAUCGGGGGAUAGGUACCCGGUGAAUAAGCCACGGCUAACUACGUGCCAGCAGCCGCGGUAAUACGUAGGUGGCAAGCGUUGUCCGGAUUUAUUGGGUUUAAAGGGUGCGUAGGCGGCCCUGUAAGUCAGUGGUGAAAUACUCUAGCUUAACUAGAGGGGUGCCAAUGAUACUGCAGGGCUUGAGUACAGAUGAGGUAGGCGGAAUUGACGGUGUAGCGGUGAAAUGCAUAGAUAUCGUCAAGAACACCUAUAGCGAAGGCAGCUUACUGGGCUGUACUGACGCUGAGGCACGAAAGUGUGGGGAUCAAACAGGAUUAGAUACCCUUGUAGUC
rnacentral:rRNA from 1 species